rnacentral:tRNA from 1 species
GCCGGGGUGGCGGAACAGGCAGACGCACAGGACUUAAAAUCCUGCGGGUAGAAAUACCCAUACCGGUUCGAUUCCGGUUCCCGGCACCA